rnacentral:lncRNA from 1 species
GCAUGUGUCUUUAUAAUAGAACAAUUUAUAUUCCUUUGGGUAUAUACCCAGUAAUGUCAGACAACCUACAGAAUGGGAGAAAAAUUUUACAAACUAUGCAUCUGCAAAAGUCUAAUAUCCAGCAUCUAUAAGGAACUUAAACAAAUUUACAGGAAAAAAACCAAACAACCCAACUGAGAAGGAAACUAUUGUGUAAAGAAUCCACUGUUUGCCAGGUGCUGUCCCACACCGAGCAUGGUCUCUCAUUUCAAUUUCAUAAUCUUCCUGAAAACGAGGUGUGGUUAUUGCCAUCUGAAAGAUAAGUAUCUGAUUUUUUAUGGGGGGUCCCAACCCAGCCAAGGUCACUCAGUCAGGAAGCGGUGGGAUUUGGCAGAUUCAAGGGCAGCCCUGACUACAGAGCCAGAACCCAUUUCACCUUCACAGCCUACUUCCCAGAAAUUUGGUGGCUGCCUCUGUGCUAUGAUUUGGUUGCUACCUGCUGAAGCUUCAACCUCUCAUCACUACCAGAAGGACCACAUCACUAAAAGUCCAUCAAUGGGGUUACUCACUUUGAUGGGCCUGUGCAGCGUCAUUCAGGAAGCCCGUGGUACUCACAUCACUCUGGCCAGACGCUAACAAGAAAAUGAUCCACUGUGACGCAGCCGACCCCAUCCAGUGCAUCCACAUUACCUGGAAAGAAGCAAUUAUGCCCCUUUGGUUUCCUUGGAAAUGCUUGGUCUGUCUCUACCAUCCGCCCUGGCUCUUGAGAAAUACUCAUGCACGGUAGAGCUUUGACAGGGAGACAGUGUGUUUAUUUUCCAACUGAAAGUUUACAGAAUACAAAGUGAGCCUGUAAGAUGGUGGCCACUCUCCAGAGGCUUGUUGGUCAGACAGGAAAGAAAACCAGUGCACCAUCGGGAACGUGGAGGAGGCUGAAAGAGAGGGACAAACAUAUUGGAUUGGAUUGGGCCCCCACAGUCAAGUUCCUGCAAACCAAGCUGGGAGAUUUUCCUGACUAAGGGUUAUGUUCUUGGGCCUCAAAGCUCCCCAGCCAACGCCCAGCUUCUGUGCCGAGGAGGAUACAGGAGGACAGACACAGCCUCUGUGUCAGGAGGAGGGAAGAAGGACUAAUGUCUGUGGACACUCUGAGGCUCACAGGGAGAAGCCACACACUCGCAGCACCAGGUCUGUGGUUUUUCAUGACCCUACACUGUCCCCUAGAAGGAAGUACCACCCAGCAGAAACAGAAGCCAAGGAAUUUCCCCAUAGAGAUCAUGGCAUGGGCUUGAGUUCAAGAACUCAAUGGACAGCGGGCAGAAAUUGGAAAGCCCAGAGCCUCCACCACUAACUCCUGUGUGACUUCUGUAAGUCCCUUGCCCUUAAUUCACCCAUAUGAAAAAUUAGGAAAAAUGAUCUCUCACUUCUGAAAUUCAAUAAUUCUAUGAUGUCAGCAACUGGACCCAAGAGAUGAUGAGUUCUGCUACAGUUGUCUUGAUGAAAGUAAAAGCUGACAUUUUUUUAAGCAGCUGCUUAGAGUUUACCACUUGAGAUUUCAUGUAAUCCUUACAACCACUCUAGAAGGUUAGUAUUAUUAUAACCCAAACUCCUACCUUAUCCUGUAGGACCCUUCUGAUCUGGUCUCUCCUCCCUGUUUGGCCUUAUCUUGUACCUCCUUUUAUAAAACCCCAGCUGCAAGGAUUCUAAUCUUAGAUCUGUCUAGGACUUUCCUCUUGCCGUGUCCCUGCCUGGAAGGCCUUUCCUUCUGAUAUAUAAGCAGCUGGCUCUUCCUCCUCUUUCUGUGGCCAGCUAGACUGGCAUCUCAUCAGAGAGAACAACCUUGGCUUUAAAUCUUUCUUAGCCUCUAUCACUAUCUACAAUUAUGUCUCUUAUUUAUGUGUUUGCAGGUAUAUUAUCUCUGUUCUCCCACUAGACUUUAAGCUCAGUGGAUGCCAGGACCCUUAGAACAAAGCACAUAGCAAGUUUUCAGUGAAGCCUUGUUAACUUUCAAAUGAAGGAAUAAACGAAUGACUAUAUUUCCACUUCGCAGAUGAGUAAACAGAGGCUUGGAGGGGUGAUGAAAUUUGCCAACAGUCAUCAAUCGGUAAGUGUGACAGAAGUAGGACUGGAACCCAGGGCUGUCUGACCUCUGGCUUGAGUCUAUAACCGCUUGGCCAUACUGCCUUUCAGUUCCAGGAACAGGUGAUGCUUCCCGGCAGUGAGACUCGAAACCAGCGGGAGUUCCCAGCCAGAGACAUGAUCUAAGUGCCAAUGGCUGAAUGUCUGUGAGCAUUUCAAGUCAUUUUAAGAAUAGGCAACAUUAGCGGCACCAUUAAAGCCUGCUGUUCCUCCAGCCCAUCACUGCCAUCCCCACCUAUUAAAAUAAUGGCAUGAAAAAUAAACAGCCUUUAUGUACAAUUUU